GGCAGGGCUACAGGUGAUCUGGUGAACUGGACUUGGUGUAUGGUGUGGAAGGGACUUUGGGAGAGACCUGUGCCCACGAUAAAAGGGAAGAUGAAGGUGUUCCUUUGAGUUUGCAUGUGUGGGGCCUUUUUGGCAUGGUUGACUUGUCUGUACUCCUUCCUGUGACUUGACAUCAAAAUUAGCCUUGCAGCUUCAGGACUGCUGAUCCUGAUUAUGCUGUGCAAAGGGUGUUCGU
rnacentral:lncRNA from 1 species